rnacentral:tRNA from 1 species
CUCCUGAUGGCCCAGUUGGCUAAGGCGCGAGACUGUAAUAAUCUUGAGAUCGGGUGUUCGACUCACCCUCAGGAGA